rnacentral:rRNA from 1 species
GACGAACGCUGGCGGCGUGCUUAACACAUGCAAGUCGAACGGAAAGGCCCUGCUUUUGUGGGGUGCUCGAGUGGCGAACGGGUGAGUAACACGUGAGUAACCUGCCCUUGACUUUGGGAUAACUUCAGGAAACUGGGGCUAAUACCGGAUAGGAGCUCCUGCUGCAUGGUGGGGGUUGGAAAGUUUCGGCGGUUGGGGAUGGACUCGCGGCUUAUCAGCUUGUUGGUGGGGUAGUGGCGUACCAAGGCUUUGACGGGUAGCCGGCCUGAGAGGGUGACCGGCCACAUUGGGCCUGAGAUACGGCCCAGACUCCUACGGGCGGCAGCAGUGGGGAAUAUUGCACAAUGGGCGGAAGCCUGAUGCAGCAACGCCGCGUGCGGGAUGACGGCCUUCGGGUUGUAAACCGCUUUCGCCUGUGACGAAGCGUGAGUGACGGUAAUGGGUAAAGAAGCACCGGCUAAUUACGU